rnacentral:rRNA from 1 species
GAUGAACGCUGGCGGCGUGCCUAAUACAUGCAAGUCGAGCGAACAGACGAGGAGCUUGCUCCUCUGACGUUAGCGGCGGACGGGUGAGUAACACGUGGAUAACCUCCCUAUAAGACUGGGAUAACUUCGGGAAACCGGAGCUAAUACCGGAUAAUAUAUUGAACCGCAUGGUUCAAUAGUGAAAGACGGUUUUGCUGUCACUUAUAGAUGGAUCCGCGCCGCAUUAGCUAGUUGGUAAGGUAACGGCUUACCAAGGCAACGAUGCGUAGCCGACCUGAGAGGGUGAUCGGCCACACGGGAACUGAGACACGGUCCAGACUCCUACGGGAGGCAGCAGUAGGGAAUCUUCCGCAAUGGGCGAAAGCCUGACGGAGCAACGCCGCGUGAGUGAUGAAGGUCUUCGGAUCGUAAAGCUCUGUUAUUAGGGAAGAACAAAUGUGUAAGUAACUAUGCACGUCUUGACGGUACCUAAUCAGAAAGCCACGGCUAACUACGUG